UACGUAGGGUGCGAGCGUUAAUCGGAAUUACUGGGCGUAAAGCGUGCGCAGGCGGUUUGACAAGUCAGAUGUGAAAGCCCCGGGCUUAACCUGGGAACUGCGUUUGAAACUGUCGGACUAGAGUGUGGCAGAGGGGGGUAGAAUUCCACGUGUAGCAGUGAAAUGCGUAGAUAUGUGGAGGAAUACCGAUGGCGAAGGCAGCCCCCUGGGUCAACACUGACGCUCAUGCACGAAAGCGUGGGGAGCAAACAGGAUUAGAUACCCUGGUAGUCCACGCCCUAAACGAUGUCAACUGGUUGUCGGGAGAGGAGACUUUCUUGGUAACGAAGCUAACGCGUGAAGUUGACCGCCUGGGGAGUACGAUCGCAAGAUUA
rnacentral:rRNA from 1 species